UUUUCGCAAUGCCCGAAAGGGUGACGAAGCGACGCCGCGUGGGUGAGGAAGGCCUUCGGGUUGUAAAGCCCUGUCAGGAGUUAAGAAAUAUAAGUGCGCUAAUAUCGCAUUUAUUUGACGAAGGCUCCAAAGGAAGCCACGGCUAACUCUGUGCCAGCAGCCGCGGUAAUACAGAGGUGGCAAGCGUUGUUCGGAAUUAUUGGGCGUAAAGAGCACGUAGGUGGGUUUGUAAGUCAGAUGUGAAAGCCUUCUGUUCAACGGAAGAAUUGCAUCUGAAACUGCGAGUCUUGAGUGUAGGAGGGGAGAAUGGAACUUCUGGUGGAGCGGUGAAAUGCGUAGAUAUCAGAAGGAACGCCGGCGGCGAAAGCGAUUCUCUGGCCUAUUACUGACACUCAGUGUGCGAAAGCUAGGGGGGCAAACGGGAUUAGAUACCCCGGUAGUCCUAGCCGUAAACGAUGGGCACUAAGUAGAGGGGUU
rnacentral:rRNA from 1 species